AAAAAACAAAAUUGUUUUCUGUAUUUUAUAAAAUGGAAAGUGAAAGAAGAAUACAGAUCACAUUAUUCAUGUCAAUUAUGUCAUAGAAAUUCUCCCUGCCUGUGAAAUAUUCGUUCCCCCUAUUUAUACCAUGGUAAGAAUGGUCUAUUUUAUUAUAAGCUGCUGUGCAGAAAUUUUUUCGACAUUACAAUUGAAACUAUUUCCUCUAAAUGCAGUCCCUACGAUAGAGGUCAAAACCUUUUUGUCGUACACUGUGCAUUAUAUACUGCAUUUGGAAGUAAAAAAUAAUAGAAUUUUAGCACAAAAAAAAAAAACAUUUAUCCUGUUUGGAGUUUUGUUUUUUGUGUGCAUUUUGUGAGUGUAACAGGAUAUCUGUACGGUUCAAAUCAGUAUAUUAAACAGAAAGGGAUAGACCUUCAGCAAUCUCUACUUUUGGCAUAUGUAUGAGAAAAUAUUUUCCAGCUCUCAAUAAAUACUGUUGACCAAUUUAAAAUGACUUUCAGUAAUGAAUCUCAAACUUAUUUUUAAAAAAGCUCUAUUAAUUCAUAAAAUCUUGAGAUUCUCAGAUUAAACUGACUUUGGCAAUCAGUUCUAGUUAUUAUCCA
rnacentral:lncRNA from 1 species